rnacentral:misc_RNA from 1 species
AGCGAGUUCACCCCGCGAGAGUUUGUUUACAGACGACAUAGACCGUUUUAUCUACCCAUCGACAGAUCUAGUUCGCUGAAGAUUCAUUCUGGUCAGGACUUUAAACUGUCGACAUGGCGGACGAGGCAGCAAAAACGGAAUCGGGGAAAACUGUUUUGAUUGCCAUAGACGGAAGUGAACAAGCCAGAAAUGCAUUCGAUUGGUACAAAAACAACAUUUUCAAGGACACAGACAAAGUGGUACUGGUCCAUGCCGUGGAAAUGCACGAAAUCCUAAACUCCCAACAGUGGUAUGCCACUCCCUAUAGCUUCGAUAAGGACACCCUGUUUGCUAUCCUAGAGAAGGAGAAGGAGAAAGUGACUGCGAAGUUGGAGGAGUUUGCUCAACUGCUCCGGGACUCUAAGGUAGGCAAGACAUGUGCAUAUUGAACUGAAGUGUUAUGCAUAGUUAGCACUCCAGUAAUUUCGAGUGUGUUAAAAGCGACCCUUUUGCGUUCACCUCUAAAAUAAGAUUUAUAGUGAUGGGUGCAAAUGUGUGUUGACUGUCCCUUUCAAUACGCAUAUCAUGGUUAGUGUUUAUGUAAAUAAAUCAGGGAUCUCAUACUUCAUACACGUGAUUAUGCAAUCACUAUUUUAAAUUAAAAAGGCCCAAUAAUUUAUGCAGUGCCCUUGGGAAAUAAAAAAAACCUCAUUGACAAAUGAAUUAUCCUCAUCAUUGUGUAAUAGAUGUACAAGCAUAAUAUUUAUAUAAUCAAUAAUUUCGUUAGUUUGAGAAUAAAACCACUUAAAAUGUUCAUGGUUUCGAAAAUUUAAAGAUAAAUAAUGCCAGUAAAAUGAUCUACUUUGCUUGUAAGCUACUAACUGCGGCGACUAAAAUAGGCAGUUAAAAUAGUGAGUACAUAAUCACGCGAGAAUUCAGGAGAAUUUUGAAUGGUUUGACAUAACAUUCCCGGUAUACACGCCGUUUUUGUUCUCCCUGACAAGUUCCUGUUUAGACCAACAGUGGAUGCAAAUCAUAUUGAAGUUUUUAUAACGAAGUAUUAUAAAUAUCUCGGAACUAGUGAUAACGAUUUAUUGUACAUGUGUAUGAUUUUGCCUGGGGGAGGGGGGGGGGGGGGUAAAAAGUUUGAAUGGAAAUUGAGAAAUGCGACUUAUUAUGACUGUCAUAACUUCAUAUCCGUCAUUGAUAUUUCAUAUUACUAACGACUUGUGUCACGUGUUUAAUUCAGUAAAAAUGUAAUAAAGCAUGAGUUGGCAAAGUGCUCCUUUAUGUAUUAUCACAUCUGCUGAUAACCAUGACCAGAGCAGUUUCUUCCCUUAUAUCAUUUUUUCAAAUGCCCUCUUCAUUUUCAGAUAAACGGCACAGUAAAGAGUGUUCAUUCAUCCAGUCCAGGAGAAGGGAUCUGUAAGAUUGCCAAGGAAAUGAACGCCGACCUGAUUAUUACUGGAACUCGUGGUAUGGGGAGCGUUCGACGCACCUUACUGGGUAGUGUCAGUGACUACAUCUUACACCACGCCCACGUACCUGUCAUUGUGUGUCGUCACUGAGCGCGCCGACCAAUGAACAAUGUGUAUUUUUCAGAUACAUGUAUACUUUCUAUAACACCUUAUGAAGGGUUAGUAGUGUUCAUACCUGUAUGUUUUGACUUGUAAUCGGAUAGUGUACAGGUGAUUAUUAUUACCGCGAGAGUAGAUGCUACAUCUAUAUUCGUUUUGAGUGUAUCUCUGUGUAAAGACCCGCUAUAGUUUGUUGUAGUGAGUUAUUAGUGUUUAUGUUGAAAUAAAUAUUUCAUUAUUUUACGACGAC